UUGGAACAUCAAAAGUUUCAAUAUUAAUUUCACUUUCAGAAACAGCCACAGACACACUGGAAACUUCUGAGGAAACAUCAACAGGAGCGGUUUCAGUUGGGAUUGAAGUGUUAGAUUUAUUGAGGGGAGCAAGAGUCACGGAAGCUUCAGCUUCCACAGAUUAUCAUAGAAGUUUAACACUCGGGAGCAAGAAUUGCAACAUUUUCAACUUCGAUUGCCAUAGCAACGACCUCUUCAUUUAAAGGAUCUUCAGCCACGGGAGCUUCAUUUGCCGGAAAAGGAAAGUCAAGUGGUUGUUGGAUCAUCUUAAUGGUUUUCAAAACUUUGGCCAACUCUGAGUUUAAAUCAAAGUUUUCUUGACUAGCCUCAAUUAAAGUAUCACGACGAGAGUUUAGAAAAGCCCAACUCACCUCUAUGU
rnacentral:lncRNA from 1 species